rnacentral:rRNA from 1 species
CCUACGGGCUGCACCAGUGGGGAAUAUUGCACAAUGGGCGCAAGCCUGAUGCAGCCAUGCCGCGUGUAUGAAGAAGGCCUUCGGGUUGUAAAGUACUUUCAGCGGGGAGGAAGGCGAUAAGGUUAAUAACCUUGUCGAUUGACGUUAACCGCAGAAGAAGCACCGGCUAACUCCGUGCCAGCAGCCGCGGUAAUACGGAGGGUGCAAGCGUUAAUCGGAAUUACUGGGCGUAAAGCGCACGCAGGCGGUCUGUCAAGUCGGAUGUGAAAUCCCCGGGCUCAACCUGGGAACUGCAUUCGAAACUGGCAGGCUAGAGUCUUGUAGAGGGGGGUAGAAUUCCAGGUGUAGCGGUGAAAUGCGUAGAGAUCUGGAGGAAUACCGGUGGCGAAGGCGGCCCCUGGACAAAGACUGACGCUCAGGUGCGAAAGCGUGGGGAGCGAACAGGAUUAGAUACCCCUGUAGUC